UACGUAGGUGGCAAGCGUUGUCCGGAUUUACUGGGCGUAAAGAGCGCGCAGGCGGUCGGAUAAGUCGAAUGUGAAAGCCCCCGGCUCAACUGGGGAGGGUCAUUCGAUACUGUUCGACUCGAAGGCAGGAGAGGGAAGUGGAAUUCCCGGUGUAGUGGUGAAAUGCGUAGAUAUCGGGAGGAACACCAGUGGCGAAGGCGGCUCACUGGACCGGUACUGACGCUGAGGCGCGAAAGCGUGGGGAGCAAACGGG
rnacentral:rRNA from 1 species